ensembl:lncRNA
GUUGAUGAUGUACACAGCCUGUUGAUGAUGAUGAUGUACACAGCCUGUUGAUGAUGAUGAUGUACACAGCCUGUUGAUGAUGAUGUACACAGCCUGUUGAUGAUGAUGAUGUACACAGCCUGUUGAUGAUGAUGAUGUACACAGCCUGUUGAUGAUGAUGAUGUACACAGCCUGUUGAUGAUGAUGAUGUACACAGCCUGUUGAUGAUGAUGAUGUACACAGCUUGUUGAUGAUGAUGUACACAGCCUGUUGAUGAUGAUGAUGUACACAGCUUGUUGAUGAUGAUGUACACAGCCUGUUGAUGAUGAUGAUGUACACAGCUUGUUGAUGAUGAUGAUGUACACAGCCUGUUGUUGAUGAUGAUGAUGUACACAGCUUGUUGAUGAUGAUGUACACAGCCUGUUGAUGAUGAUGAUGAUGUACACAGCUUGUUGAUGAUGAUGAUGAUGUACACAGCUUGUUGAUGAUGCUUCAGUGUGUUAUCUAUGCUGUUGCAUUUAUUGUUUCUAUUUGAUCAUGAAAACAUAAGGAAGCUAUUGUUCUGGAUCACCAUGGGUAUGUGGGACCUGUCUAAAUGCUCUGUUCAGAAGCUUUGGAGAUGACACACACACACACACACACACACACAUAUUCAAGCUAGUUGGUACACACACUCGCGCAUUUUAGGUACAACCACGCAACCUUUGCAUGAACACAGAUGCUAAAAUCAAAGAGGCUAUCAGGGUGCGACCAGACUGGCUGCUUCAGGACUCCCAGGUAGGGAGGAAGGUAGGGAGGGAGGGAGGAAGGGAGGGAGGAAGGUAGGAAGGGAGGGAGGAAGGUAGGGAGGAAGG